GCGCCUGUAGCUCAGGUGGAUAGAGCAACGGUCUUCUAAACCGUGGGUCCGGGGUUCGAGUCCCUGCAGGCGCGCCA
rnacentral:tRNA from 1 species